rnacentral:rRNA from 1 species
UACGUAGGGUGCAAGCGUUGUCCGGAUUUAUUGGGCGUAAAGAGCGUGUAGGCGGCCAUACAGGUCAGCUGUGAAAACUCGAGGCUCAACCUCGAGACGUCGGUUGAAACCGUAUGGCUAGAGUCCGGAAGAGGAGAGUGGAAUUCCCGGUGUAGCGGUGAAAUGCGCAGAUAUCGGGAGGAACACCUGUGGCGAAAGCGGCUCACUGGACCGCAACUGACGCUGAGGCGCGAAAGCUAGGGGAGCAAACAGG